AUUGAACGCUGGCGGCAGGCUUAACACAUGCACGUAGAGCGAGCGGCGGACGGGUUAGUAAUUUCUGGGAAACUUCCUGAUGGAGGGGGAUAUCUACUGUCAACGGUAGCUAAUACCGCAUACCAUCAUAUUUGCCCAGAUGGGAUUAGAUAGUAGGUGGGGUAAUGGCUCACCUCGGCGACGAUCCCUAGCUGGUCUGAGAGGAUGACCAGCCACACUGGAACUGAGACACGGUCCAGACUCCUACGGGAGGCAGCAGUGGGGAAUAUUGCACAAUGGGCGCAAGCCUGAUGCAGCCAUGCGGCGUGUGUGAAGAAGGCCUUCGGGUUGUAAAGCACUUUCAGCGAGGAGGCGUUACUCGCAGAAGAAGCACCGGCUAACUCCGUGCCAGCGGCCGCGGUAAUUC
rnacentral:rRNA from 1 species